CGAACAGCAGAGUCAGUUGGUAGACAAUAUGUCAAUACGACUUCCACUACUAUUUUGUGUUUUGUGUGUGUUGUGCAUUUUUCCUACUUUAAUUAAUGCCAAUGGGGCUGAGAUAUAUGAGGCGCGGGUGAAGAAACUACAGGAAUACCACGAGAAAGAUCCAUGUUCGCUCAAACAUCAUCCAUGGGAAAAUUGUCGUGACGCAAUGAACCUGUUCAACAAAAUACCUAAGGACAAACGCGGCUUUUGCAACCAUGUGGUCGGCUUUGACUGCAGUAACAAUCAUUGCCGGUUUCGUAUUGCUAUUGAAAUGGAACAACGAGAGAAAAGUUGACCUCGUGCUUAGAGGAAGCAGGAAUACAUCCAGCGAAGAAGCGUUGGAACAUUAAGAAGGGUUGGAAUGCAGCACGGAAAAUGAUUACCGGAACGAAAAAGGACACAAGAAAAAUGCUCAUCAGCAUGAGGACCACCAAGAUGGAGACCCCAGACACGAGGAUUCGACAGACGAGGGCCCCUAAAACGGGGAUCCCAAAGACGGGGAGCACAAUGGAUAAAGACCUAAACAAGAAGCCAAUUCUCUAUGGGAGGCUUUCAGGAAAAAUGAAAAGCUGUCCGUGCAUUAUUGAAAUUUUCGGCGCAGCGUACAGCGUACACCCGUGUGCGAUUUUAGAAAAAUCAAGGACAACACAUGGUAUGGAAAUUGAGGCACUAUGAUGCGCGCCAUUUUUACCGAAAAAUGUUUCUCAAUAUAUUUUCUUCUUCAUCAAAUAACAUCAAAGAGCAUAUUGUUUUCCUUUUUAUGUUUGGAGGAAACUUAUUAUGUCAGUCAUCGCCUUAAUUGGGGGGGGGGGGGUGUGAAUUUCGAAGAAAGUUGACAUACUUUAAAGCUCAAGAAUUAUUUAUGCUGCUGCUUACCCCCCUGCUCCCCCUCCCCCCCACCAAAAAAAAAUUCGAACCAUCAAUACCAUCAUCGGAAUGAACUUAUACUCUCGUCUAUCUCUCGUCCAAACGCGCCGAUUUUUCAAGCGCUGUGAAACUUCACUUAAUUAGUAAAGUUCACGUCUCGCAAAAAAUGAUAUGAGGGCUUUUACGUCUUUGAACUAAAUAGUAGUUGGUUAUUUUAAAUCAUCGUAACUUAAUCUCUGCCAAAGUCACCCAGUAGAUUUGUGCUUUUUUCACAACGGUGGCACAGCAACCUCUGUGCGCAAUUUUUACAUUUUGAGCUUGUCUGAAACUUUGUAAAAUUACGAGCUUUGAGUACCAAAAUGCCAGCACAUUUCAACCUCAAAAUACUGACCUUGACAAGAAAUUGCAUCGUUAUCUUCAUCCAAACCCACGUAGUUUUGAACAAUCCGGUAUUAUUGACAAGCAUGGAGAAUGCUGUUCAUAUAUGUAACGCUCUAGGGGUGUAUGGGUCUUCAUAAUUUUGUGACCAAACGUGAUAAUGGGUGGGGUACAUUGUCAAGAUCAUUUCUUAAUGGUAUGUAUUUUAUAUUGGAUUUCAAAUUUUUUUUUCUUAGUGUAUUUUUCAUUUUUCAGUUUUACAUGCAAGUGUUUUUUCUGAUUCUAUCUUGUUUCUUGAAACACAGCCUUCUAAUUAACAGAAACAAUGCCCUCACCCAUUUCUAGUGAGAAAAUUAAAAUAUCACUUUAAAAAAAUCGUCGGGAAAAAAGUACAUUAUAGGACGAUGGUGACCUUCUUUCAAAAUAAUCCAAAGAAAAUUUGACUCCACCCCUCUCUUCUCGGUAGAUACCUACUUUCCAUCUUCCUGAGAGGAUGAUGUUUAGAUUAUUUACUUUAUCCUCAUUUUUAUAUCUCUUCAGAGCCAAUUUUCUCUCUCAUGUACUUUUUAUUAAUUUUUUCAAACUGGUACUUGAGAAAUUUGUUCCUAUUUAUUUCCUCCUUUUCUUCAAAAUGUGUCAUACAUGCACUACCACUUCAUUGUUUCUAGUGUUCAUUUUUCCACUUGUAUUUUUCUCAACAUUUCUUUUCAACUAUUCUUCCCUUAAAAUGCAUAUAUUUCAUGAGUUACUGCUUCAAAUAC
rnacentral:lncRNA from 1 species